rnacentral:rRNA from 1 species
UGCCAGCGCCGCGGUAAUACGUAGGGGGCAAGCGUUGUCCGGAUUUACUGGGUGUAAAGGGCGCGCAGGCGGAUUUGUCAGUCAGGGGUGAAAUCCUACAGCUUAACUGUAGAACUGCCUUUGAUACUGCAAAUCUUGAGUUCGGAAGGGAGAGGCGGAAUUCCAGGUGUAGUGGUGAAAUACGUAGAUAUCUGGAAGAACACCAGAGGCGAAGGCGGUCUCUUGGUCCAUAACUGACGCUGAGGCGCGAAGGCGUGGGUAGCGAACGGGAUUAGAUA